rfam:Loktanella atrilutea strain DSM 29326 genome assembly, contig: Ga0131175_143
AGCUUAUUUCGCUCAGGCGGAGCUCGACCGCCCGUUGAAGCGAUGAUCGGGUUUAUCGACGAUCAUCGUGUCGUCUAUGGGGUCGAGCCGAUCUGCCGGGUUCUGCCGAUCGCCCCA